rnacentral:tRNA from 1 species
GCGAUGGUAGUUCAGUGGUAGAAUGUCUCCUUCCCAAGGAGAAGGUCGCCGGUUCGAAUCCGGUCCAUCGCU